rnacentral:rRNA from 1 species
AUGUCGCCGUCGGGGUCCGCAUCCGCCAUCGUCGCCGACAAAACGGAAGGGUACCACUUUCUCACGAUCCACGACUACUCCCGAACCAAGGGCGUCCCCAUCGGCGAGGGGAUCGGCUCCCAGCCCUUCACAGUCGGCGGCCACCGUUGGUGCAUCUACUAUUACCCCAACGGUGAUCGCACGGAGGUUGCGGACUACGUGUCCUUCUCCCUGGAACUAGAAGAAGAUGGCGCGACGGCGGUGAAGGCCCAUUUCAGAUUCUGUUUCACGGGCGAGGGGGAGGAGGAGGAGGCGAAGCACGCGGCUUUGCUGGCGUUGGCAUCGGUGGACGAAUACACCUCCGGGAACGGCUGGGUGUGUACGAAGUUCAUCAACAGGAAGGUCCUGGAGAACUCCAAGCAUCUAAAGAACAACUCGUUCAUGGUCCGGUGCGACAUCGUUGUCAUACACAGGUACGGUUCUGCGUACAACCCGGUGGCCUACGUCUCCGUGCCCCCAUGCGAUUCGUCCCAGGACUUUGGCGAGCUCCUGGAGACUGAGAAGGGCGCCGAUGUGGUGUUCGAGGUUGGCGGCAAGACCGUGGCCGCACACCGGUGCAUCCUUGCGGCCCGCUCGCCGGUCUUUGCAGCCGAGCUCUUCGGACCAAUGAAGGAGGGCAAUGCUGCCACUGCUGGCGUAGUGCACUUGGAAGACAUGGAGAUGGAGGUGUUCAAGGCGCUGCUCCGUUACGCGUACACGAGCUCACUGUCACUGCAGGGGAUGGCGAAUGACCACGUCACGUGCCAGAAAAUUCUCGUCGCGGCAGACAGGUAUGGCAUGGGGCGGCUGAAGCUACUCUGCGAGGAGUGGAUCUGCGAGUGCAUUGACGUGGACACGGCAGCGACCAUCCUGGCGCUAGCCGAGCGGCACCAUUGUGAGGGGCCGAAGAAGGCGUGCUUCGAUUUUCUUGCGGAUCCGGCGAAGCUGAGGGCAUUCAUGGCCACCGGCGGUUUCCAGUAUCUGUGGGAAAGCUGCCCUUCUCUCAUGAUGGAGCUCAUGGACAUGUGCUUGCCGUAUUAG